rnacentral:rRNA from 1 species
CAGUCGCCGCGGUAAUACGUAGGUGGCAAGCGUUGUCCGGAUUUACUGGGCGUAAAGGGCGCGUAGGCGGGCUGAUAAGUCAGGGGUGAAAUCCCAAGGCUCAACCUUGGAACUGCCUUUGAUACUGUUUGUCUUGAGUUCGAGAGAGGUAAGUGGAACUGCGAGUGUAGAGGUGAAAUUCGUAGAUAUUCGCAAGAACACCAGUGGCGAAGGCGGCUUACUGGCUCGAAACUGACGCUGAGGCGCGAAAGCGUGGGGAGCAAACAGGAUUAGAUACCCCCGUAGUCCCUGUCUCUUAUAC